AAAUUUCCAUUUACGAAUUCGAAAUAAGCACAUGACCAAUUCAAUAUGGAUGUUUGUUGUGAAAACAAUAUUCUGCCCUAAUAAAGGCUGACGGAAAUGGAUACCGGAAAAGAAACUGAUGUUGAUUUAACUAUUCAAGCUUUGGAUGAAACAACGAAAUGUGCUGUCGAAUUCAAAAAGUUGUUACGCUUACUAAAUGCCCGAAUAAGGAAUUUAGAAGAUGGCAGAUUUGAAGAGGCACCCAUAAUUGAACAGAAGCUGGAUUGUGUUUCUGAAAGAAUAGAGGGAACGGCAGUUCAUGUACAUGAAGUCACAAUUCUUGCCACAGAAUUACAGAAUAACAUGCAAAAAUUGAACUUUGCCAUUCAACCACCGAAUAUAAGAGAGAAAAAAGGAAGAAGAAGUUUUCAAGCAACAGACAGUGGAUUUGACAGUACAACUUACAGUGGUACUUCAAAAGUAAUCAACAAUGAUGUCGUAAGUGAAAUACAAGAUACAAACCCACCAGGAAAUCAAAAACAAUCUUGUGCAUCCCUUUCACUUGAGGCAAUUGGCGGAACCUAUCCUAUCACACAAGAUAGCAAAUUUUCCGAAUGCUAAAGAACAGUCACAAGUGUAGGCUUUUAUGUUGUACAGUACACACUUAUUCUAUCUUCUUAUUUUAUCAUGCAUUAUUCAAUCUAUAAUGUGCAAUAUGUUCAUAUUCAGGUUUCUCGUCUAUGUUUGUAUGUAUCUAUAUCUUAAAGUCAUAUGAAACGAGUUUAAAAAAUUUUAAUGUUCAGGAAAUUAUUGAUCCAAUGCAUGCAUAUAAAUUAUACUAAACUAAAUCCUAAAUGCACGUUUUUUUACAUUUAUUACGAGUCUAUAACGUAUAAUCGACACAUAAUAUUUCAUUCGGUGAUUGUUGAUCGCAAGUUCAUUAACUUUCGAGUUUGUUGCCGAAGUGUACCGGAUCUUGACAUUGAUAAACAAUCAACACAGAAGCCUGUGAAGCAUGUAAAAAAUAAGUGAAUUGAAGGAGCGCUGUUAAUUUUUUUUUUUAUAUUUUCUAUGCGUUUCAAUAACUGUUGUUAAAUGAUUUUGUGUAUUUAAUUUGUUCUUUAAGAAUCAAUUAAUACUAUUUACUUUCCAGUGCACGUUUAUUUACAUUCUGCCAUCACUCUUUUCCCUCGCUGUGCGGUGGCUAAAGUUCUAACGAGAGGUCUCGUAGUUGAAGUCACUGUAUACGGGAAAAUAUCGACUAAUUAGUAUACGGGAAGACAAUAGUUCAAUAGCAGUACACUUCUAAAGAUUUCGAUAAGAUAAUGGAUUAGGUUUCACAAGAAAGUUCAUGUACACUUGUUUUUUAAUACAACUCAGCCAUUCUAGUGUAUAAAACAUAUCCAACUAUUUUUUAAAUUUGAAGUUUCAUAUGACUUUAAUGGUGUUGUUCGUUAGUGAUUUUGAUAGUCGAGUUGAUAACAGAUCUGUGAUAGUCCCUGUUUAAUUUUUUCGCUACUGGAUUUGGGACGAAUUGGUGCGACUAUGGCAACCAGCAAUCUUUCAUAAUGCAUUUUUUUAUUGCAAUAAGGUCCUGUUGUCACUAUCAAAAAUAUUCAGUUCAAAAUUGACUCAAGAAAAUUUUGAACAAGUAAAAUUGGUAAAAUUCAUCUGUUGUCAUCAUCAAAGUUUUCAGGGUAUUGGUCAAAGAAAACAUGAGAAUUGAAGGUUAACAAAAAGUAAAGUGUCUCUUAAAAUAACUUCUCACAGAAUGAUUGCUUUGCUAUUUAACUACUAUAUCUUCUGUGUAAUUCUAUUUUAAGGAGGCUAAUUCGUGAAAGUUUUCUUUAAGGCAAAUAAGAAUUCGAGCAUGUUUUCUUUACGGCAAAUGAAUCCUACCAAUCUUUGUUCUCAACCAAUUCAAACCAUGUCAUGCUAUUUGUCCAUAACGAUUAUCUUUAAGCUUUACUGGAUGUUUCUGAAUAUUCAGCUCAUCAUUUCUCACCAGUUAUACAAUAUUUUUCGUUCCUAAACUCAACUCUGAUUGGUUAUUUCGCAUCAAGUGAAUAAUUCAUCAGCAAUGUUUCUUAUCUCAUUUUGACAAAAUUGAACCAAAUUAGCUGCUAAAGGCGAAUUAUUAUUUCACUAAAAUAAUUUCACUUUCAUUAAUUAUGGAACAAAAAAAAAAUCAUAUUUUAUGUUUUUUAUAUCUCGUAGCUAAUGCCCCUUUAAAGGCUUUGCAAUUGUUUGUUUUCCAUAUCACAUUAUUAUGGUGUUGUAAGUAAGCCUUUCAUACAAAUGUGUAGUAUAUUGCCUUGAUGUGAUUAUUUAUUAUGCUAACGUUAAUUUGCGACCAUCACAUCACCAAUUGAUGCCGUCGGAGCUUAAAAUACAAUAUUGUUAUCUCCAUUAUAAAGGAAACUGACAGAAAACAACGUCAAAUCAUACAUUUAAAAUCUGUCUUACGUCGUCUGCGCUUUCAUAGCAUCAAUUGUGAUUUGAUGCCAUGAAAAUUAGUGACGUUAUCCGAUCAAAAUGAACGUUACAAACGAUGUUGCAAUAGAAUUAUAGAUAUGAAACUUUGCAUUGUUCAAAAUAUUAGGAUGUUCUACCUCAGGAAUAGAUAAUCUUGGUUGUGUUUGCAAAACCUUUCGACAUUUUGGUUUCUCAAUGCUCUUCAACUUUGUACUUUAUUGGCCUUUUAACUUUUUUUAAUUCGAGUGUCACUGAUGAGUCUUUUGUAAACGACACGCGCGUCUGGUGUACAAAAAUAUAAGCCUGGUACCUUUGAUGAUUUUUUGUCUUAAAGGCAUUUGCAAUUGUUGUUUUUCUUAUCACACUAUUAUGGUGUUUUAAGCUUUUCAUACAAAUGUGUAGUCUAUUGUCUUGAUUUGAUUAUUUGUUGUUAUGCUUCUGUUAUUAAAAUUAUAUAACUAUAGGAACGAAGAACUACCGCUAGUGUAUUUGCUUACAAAAUAGAAAAAAUUACUUUAAUGAGUUACUACUUUAAACGAGGGAAGUUAUGAGUAACCCUUAUAGAGGAUAUAUACAUGAGGAAUUUCAUUCAAAUGUGGACAUUAACGUUGCAGUUAAUUAAAAUAGUUUGCCGAGUUUAAAACGUUAUUUUUUUCGUUUCUGUCUUGACCAUUCAUUAGUCUACAGUCAUACAGAUGCAUUUGAUAAGUAAGCAAAAUGUUGAGCAAUGUUUUUUUUUUGCUAUUCAUUUGAUUUUGUAAUUUUUAUAAGGUGUUAUAUUUCUUCCUCUUUUACUUAAUUGUUAUUGAUAGAAGUAUUAUUAUAUUAGUUCACACCAGUGCUUGUUCUCCUCAUUCGAAAAUGAAAUGAAGCUUCUCGAUUUUUCAUGACUACUUGUCUUAUUUUGUAGUCCUCAAAUAUGCUACACAGGAAUAAAACGUGCUUCAUCAAUAAGAAACGGUUUUGACUUUUCCACGUUUUUUCAGUUGUUUUAUUUCUCUCACACAUAAUAGGUCACAUGUUUACAAUUAUAAAAUGACAAAAGAUGUGUGUUUUUUUUUACAAAAAGAUCCAUUCAUAAUUCAGAAAGAAUCUUUUACAGUGCAAGAAGAGGGCAAUAGAAACAUUAACUACAAUUAUUAUGAUUCAAUACAUCGAUGUCAAAUUUGUCAUAUAUUUAUAUACAUUUUUAUUUUACUACUGUAUAUGUAAUUCGAUUCGGCGUAAAGCAAACACCAAUCAAUCAAUGUACAUGCAAUUCGUUUUCUUUCAAAACUUUAAUAAUUAAAUGACGUUUGAAAAAUGUACAGCAAAAUAAAUAUUCAAUUUUGUCGCCUUUUAAGCAUCUUUAUAGGUGAGGAUAUGCUUUAUGCUUCACUAAAAUUCAAGAACAAAUGUUAUAAGUGAAUUUGUUAUUAAUAUCAGCGGCCAGUGUCGAUUAAAUGGAAUAUUCAUGUAUGUUAAUCUGCAUAUUGUCUAUUUUUUAUUUUUAUAUGUUUAUUUUUCAUUUUUAUGUUUUUCCUAUUUAUUUGAAUUUCUCUGUUUUUGAUGACUUAGGUAAUAUAGUGUAGUAUAAAUGCUGUAAGCCAACUAUACUCAAAUUAUUUAUGUUAAUUCGUGACAUUUCCGUAGCUGUUAUUGUAAUAAGGAUUAUAUUUUUAGUAGUAGAGAAAUUAAUUAUUAUUAUAGAAAAGUCCCAAACUUUCAUUUUACAUGAGUGAUUAUUGUUUGCAUUACGCACCAUCAGCUCAAAAGGCUUUCUUAUAACAUGCUAUUCAUCUUGUAUCAACGGUUAAAAAUUGUAAAUGAUCUUAUGAUCUCUUCACGAAAUAUGUAUUAUAAUACCCUCUACGCAAUAUGUCUCACAAUAUGUCUUAUAAUACUUUCUACGUAAUAAGUCUUAGUAAUACCUUCAAAGAUGUCUAUGGAAAUAUACGAUGAAAAUAAAAAUAAUACCUAGUAAAUUUCGUUCAUCCGAAGCGCAUUCCUGGAUUACCCUACUUCAGGAACGCUAAAACCCAAACAGUUGAAAGCCAACGAUGUAUAAAUAUCCGAACACAUGAGGGCUGUUGUUCAAAUCAAUGACGAAUAAAAUGUCAUAGUACAAAUAAAGACAGAGGACAAUUUAAUUCAAAUGUGGACAUAAAAGUUAUCUUCAAAUUACACUCCAUGAAACAAAAAAAAGUGUUGAACUGUUUUUUGUAUCAUCAAACAUUCAUGAAAAGGAUAAUAAGAAUUUCCAAAAAUAUUGGAUAAAAAAUAGACCACACAAACCACCAAACUCAGAAAAUAUUGGAUAAAAAAUAGACCACACAAACCACCAAACUCCGAAAAAGAUAUAUAUAUAUAUAUAUAACAAGGAUAUACAGCAGAAACAACACAUAGAUAACCUGACUUAGCACAGACACAAAAUGUGGUGUGGUUAAAAAUGUAUUAUACAUCUUUUCGACUAUUGUACAACAAAUGGAUUUAGAAAUAUUGUUUUCAACAUACAAACAAUUAUUUUUCAACUCCUGGUAUCCCGCUUCUAUUUUGAACAUAGUCUAGAACAUGCAUGAAAUAGUUGCCACUGGACGUUAAACAGCCGACAAUCAACCUUUUUUUGAGCGAAGCAAACCAAUAUAUCAACAGUUAUGUUGACACGUCACAGUUCAUUUUGGGGUCCUUUUUGUGGUCCUCGGGUAAUCAGGUUAGAUUUCAUUAAAAUUCAAACACAAAGAUUGGGAAUUAGAAAAAAAUAACAAGAUUUAAGCUCAAUGAUGAAAUGGAGCAUAAAAGCAACAUUUACUUAAUGUUUAAUGUAUCACUGUAGCUUUUGGUUUUGUUAUGUGCUAUUUAUGGUCAUGUAGCCUUUGUUUCACUGACAAUUUUGAACAAUAAUGCUUUUUUACCCUACAGUUACCAUUAUAAUUUUCAUUUUUUUUUUUUUGCUUCUUUAUUUUCUUUAGCUUUCCAAUUUUUUUUUUUUUUUUUUUACAUUUACUUCAUUGCAUUUAAAAAACGUUUCUCCAUAGCUUUAACAAUUCAGAUUCUCUCAGACACACACAAGCCGCAGGGCCUUCUGCUUUUAUACAUUACAUGUGUAAAUAAGAUACUGAUUGAAAUAAAUUGUGUGAAAACCGUGUGCAAAAUUAUUGCAUUUAAGUAUAUAUACAUAUAUACAUGUAGCUAGGUGCUGAUGUUCAAUGCAAUAUGUGUAAAUCAAAAUGAAUGCUUCAUGUAAUUGCUGUCAUUGUUUAAAGAAAAUUGUCAAACGAUUGUUUGUCCUCUUCAUGAAUAUGAUCGUCUGCAUAUUGUAUUGUUUUGUGUUCUGUUUUACUUUAUAUUUUUAUUAUUUAUACUUUCAUUUUGUAUUUGAGUUCCUCCACUAAAACAAUGUAGAAAUGUGAUUAGUCGUCCUGAAAAAAUAUUUUAUUACUUGUAGUAGUAAACACUUCAACUGAUA